rnacentral:rRNA from 1 species
UUAAGAGGAUGCGUCAGUCGCAAGAUGAAGCGUUGAAUUGAAGCCCGAGUAAACGGCGGCCGUAACUAUAACGGUCCUAAGGUAGCGAAAUUCCUUGUCGGUUAAAUACCGACCUGCAUGAAUGGCGUAACGAGAUGGGAGCUGUCUCAACCAGAGAUUCAGUGAAAUUGUAGUGGAGGUGAAAAUUCCUCCUACCCGCGGCAAGACGGGAAGACCCCGUGGACCUUUACUACAACUUAGCACUGCUAAUGGGAAUAUCAUGC